CCAUAGCCCCGAUUGACUCUGUGAUUUUAUAAAAUCAGAAAAAAGCGGGGUCAAGU
rnacentral:misc_RNA from 1 species